AUGGCGCCCAUAGCGGACACAUGCAUGUACGCAGAUGGUCUGGAGCUCACCAACGCCGAGUGGCGCAGCAUGCUCGGAUGCCUGAUGAUACCCAACAGGGGGUUUCGGCCGUCAUUUCUUCAUCGCCUCACAACCGCAGAUCUGCAGGAAAGUUGGAAACUGCCAUCCACAAUAAAAUUUUAUGCUCCAAGUUCAGGGAAGGUUACUUUGGAGAGACAACACAAAAAUGGAUAUGCAGACAUGCAAGCUGACUACCACAUCGACUCUGAAGACUGCAUCAACAUAACUACUGGUUGGAAAGAUUUUGUCUCACAGAAUGGCUUUGACGUCGGAGAAGUGGCCAUGGUGUUUUUCUACAAAGUAGAAGACUCCCUCAAGUUUACAAUAUUUGCACUCUAG
rnacentral:rRNA from 1 species